CCUGAAAUUAGCCUUCAGGCAUAACAUGUUUGUAGGUUUGUAGACCAUAGACCUUCAAUCUCCAAGAAGAUAAAAAGUGUAAUUCUUCCAAGAGAGUUGGUUUGAAAUUAGAAUUCGAAUUCUGAAUUUCAUCUCGAUGUCUGCUGAAGCUUAAUCUAUAGGCUCCAUGCGACAGGAAUCAUGAAUGCAACUACCGAUUCAAUCUCCCACACCUUACUAGACCGCAUACCGGACUGGGUUGCUUUGGUCCAAACACCUCACUAUUUUUAAUCAUUUCAUUGAUUGCAAAUGUGAUUGGGAUGGUGCUUUAUAGCUCGUAGAAUCAUAUAUGAAGCUGUUCUUGAAAAGCAACAGAUUGCUUUUUCUCACAAUGCAACUACUUUGGAGUGUCAGGAUGUGCUGCACAUAUAGAGAAAAACUACUUUGUUUAGUGAUAAUGUUGAAGAGCAAACAGAACAGCUGUCAUCCAAAAUCCAAGUUCUAGUUGAAAAUGCAUUGGAAAGAUGAACAGUUGUGUGCUGCGCGUCUUAUUGAGCAGCAUAAGCGAUUUAGAUGGAUCCGUAUCAGACAUUCACUUACCCAGAUACCUACAAGCCGAAUAGAGAAAAACCACUCCUUUAUGCAA